UACAAUGGCAGGUACAGAGGGGUGCUACCGGGUGACCGGAUGCCGAUCUCGAAAACCUGUCCCAGUUCGGACUGGAGUCUGCAACCCGACUCCACGAAGCUGGAUUCGCUAGUAAUCGCGCAUCAGCCACGGCGCGGUGAAUACGUUCCCGGGCCUUGUACACACCGCCCGUCAAGCCAUGGGAGCCGGGGGUACCUGAAGUGCGUAACCGCGAGGAUCGCCCUAGGGUAAAGCUGGUGACUGGGGCUAAGUCGUAACAAGGUAGC
rnacentral:rRNA from 1 species